rnacentral:rRNA from 1 species
CCUACGGGUGGCAGCAGUGGGGAAUAUUGCACAAUGGGGGAAACCCUGAUGCAGCGACGCCGCGUGAGUGAAGAAGUAAUUCGUUUCGUAAAGCUCUAUCAGCAGGGAAGAAAAUGACGGUACCUGAGUAAGAAGCCCCGGCUAACUACGUGCCAGCAGCCGCGGUAAUACGUAGGGGGCAAGCGUUAUCCGGGAUUACUGGGUGGAAAGGGAGCGUAGACGGGGCGCCAAGUUUGAAGUUAAAUGCCGCAGCUUAACUGCGGACCUGGUUUCGAACCUGGCGAACUAGAGUGCGGGAGGGGUAGGCGGAAUUCCUAGUGUAGCGGUGAAAUGCGUAGAUAUUAGGAGGAACACCGGUGGCGAAGGCGGCUUGCUGGACCGUAACUGACGUUGAGGCUCGAAAGCGUGGGGAGCAAACAGGAUUAGAUACCCGUGUAGUC